rnacentral:tRNA from 1 species
GCCUGGGUGGCUCAGUCUUUUGAGCGUCUGACUUCAGCUCAGGUCAUGAUCUCACGGUCCAUGGGUUCGAGCCCCGCGUCAGGCU